CAACAUUUGGCGUGACGGCUUUGAGAUGGACGACCUGCCUCUCACCUCCUGGCACUUGACCAGGCUAGAGCUCGUUGGUGUAGUGUUAAACAGCAGCUUCUGUGAUUUCUCAAGUUGUCCGUAAUUGCAACGUCUAGAUAUUGCCACAUGCUAUUUGUGGAGUGCCAAGAAAAUCUCAUCGGAAUCCCUGAAACACCUAAGCAUCAUAGAUUGCGAUUUGGUCAGAGAGUUCCACACUCUUAUUUAUGUCCCGAGUCUUGUUUCACUAAGGCUAGAUGGCCAUUUGUCCAGGGCUCCUGUUCUUGAGAGCAUGCCAUCACUGCAAGAGGCAUUUGUUAGAGUCACCCACGAGAAUGCAUACACUGGGGAUCAUUAUGAUUACUCUAUAGAUUGUGAUGAAAAGGAUUGUUACUCUUGUCAUGGACUCAUGGUAUCGUAGAUGACAACAACAAGUGUCUGCUUCUGGGAGGUUUAUCAGAAGCUGAGAAUUUGGCAUUUAUAUCUGAAUCCAUAAAGGUAUGCUUACACUUCCGUUUUGAUGCCUCUAUAUUGUCCCAUUAUUUCUGUUCCGGUAUCUAUUUCCACUUCUGGGCAUUCAUAAAGUUGCUCAGCAGUCGGGUUCUUUAAUCAUCAUAUUCACAUUGAGUAUUAGUUGAUUUUUUCUAUCUGCAUUUUGUCCAGUUUAUUUUCAAAAGGGAUUUGGAACAAUGCCCUAAAUUUAAUAAGUUAAAGACUUUGUUACUCGAUGAUCACUGGUGUGUGGCUCUUGACUUCCCUGCACUAUCUUGCAUUCUCAACUCUCAAGCACUCAUCAGUUCUAGAGAGCUCACUCUUCAACUUUUUUCUAAGGGACCUCAACAUAAAGUUGAAAUGACAGGAAGGUACCAUCCAACGGACAGAUCAGCUGCAAUAUCAAAACACCUCAAGGCAAUUGAAGUCAAAUGUGAAAUGGUUGGUGAGAAAGUUCACAAGGUUUUGAAGUUCCUGUGUUCAUUUAACAUAUGUUUCAUUUUCAGGUAGAUGCGGAAAAUUAGGCUGUUGGUGGAUCUACCGUCUCGACUAUUCCAAAAUUUAAGGCUGAAGUUUGACAAGGUUGCCAUCUUUUGUCUGCGAGUAUCUUGUGCCGAUUCCAGUCAUUGGAAGGUGUAGCCAUGAAAAUAUAACCUGUUUAGAACUUGCGAUGUUUUUGUUGGCCCUGGUUUACUAUUUCAUGCCAUUUAUAUUGUACUUUUCUGUGUGGAUUGCUAUCUUGACUGAUUAUAUUGGUGCGCUUUCAGAUUAUCUCAUUUUUCUUGAGACAAGAACUUGUAACUGAUCUAUUCUGAUGUAGUAUUUAUCCUUUAAUAUG